rnacentral:rRNA from 1 species
GACGAACGCUGGCGGCGUGCUUAACACAUGCAAGUCGAACGGAAAGGCCCUGCUUGCAGGGUACUCGAGUGGCGAACGGGUGAGUAACACGUGGGUGAUCUGCCCUGCACUUCGGGAUAAGCCUGGGAAACUGGGUCUAAUACCGGAUAGGAGCCAUUUUUAGUGUGAUGGUUGGAAAGUUUUUUCGGUGUAGGAUGAGCUCGCGGCCUAUCAGCUUGUUGGUGGGGUAAUGGCCUACCAAGGCGGCGACGGGUAGCCGGCCUGAGAGGGUGGACGGCCACAUUGGGACCGAGAUACGGCCCAGACUCCUACGGGAGGCAGCAGUGGGGAAUAUUGCACAAUGGGCGCAAGCCUGAUGCAGCGACGCCGCGUGGGGGAUGACGGCCUUCGGGUUGUAAACUCCUUUCGCUAGGGACGAAGCUUUUUGUGACGGUACCUAGAGAAGAAGCACCGGCUAACUACGUG